rnacentral:rRNA from 1 species
UACGAAGGGGGCUAGCGUUGUUCGGAAUUACUGGGCGUAAAGCGCACGUAGGCGGAUCGAUCAGUCAGGGGUGAAAUCCCAGGGCUCAACCCUGGAACUGCCUUUGAUACUGUCGAUCUGGAGUAUGGAAGAGGUGAGUGGAAUUCCGAGUGUAGAGGUGAAAUUCGUAGAUAUCAGGAGGAACACCGGUGGCGAAGGCGCUCAUCUGGCCCGAUACUGACGCUGAUGCGCGAAAGCUAGGGGAGCGAACGGG